rnacentral:tRNA from 1 species
GGGGGCGUAGCUCAGUUGGUAGAGCACGGUGCUGGCAGCGCCGGGGUCACGGGUUCGAGUCCCGUCGCCUCCACCA